rnacentral:rRNA from 1 species
CGUAGGGUGCAAGCGUUAAUCGGAAUUACUGGGCGUAAAGCGUGCGCAGGCGGUUUAUUAAGUCAGCUGUGAAAUCCCCGGGCUUAACCUGGGAAUGGCAGUUGAGACUGGUAGGCUGGAGUGUGUCAGAGGGGGUCGAAUUCCACGUGUAGCAGUGAAAUGCGUAGAGAUGUGGAGGAACACCGAUGGCGAAGGCAGCCCCCUGGGAUAACACUGACGCUCAUGCACGAAAGCGUGGGGAGCAAACAGGAUUAGAUACCCUGGUAGUCCACGCCCUAAACGAUGUCAACUAGUUGUCGGGACUUAAUUGUCUUGGUAACGCAGCUAACGCGUGAAGUUGACCGCCUGGGGAGUACGGUCGCAAGAUUA